UAGGGAAUCUUCGGCAAUGGACGGAAGUCUGACCGAGCAACGCCGCGUGAGUGAAGAAGGUUUUCGGAUCGUAAAGCUCUGUUGUAAGAGAAGAACGAGUGUGAGAGUGGAAAGUUCACACUGUGACGGUAUCUUACCAGAAAGGGACGGCUAACUACGUGCCAGCAGCCGCGGUAAUACGUAGGUCCCGAGCGUUGUCCGGAUUUAUUGGGCGUAAAGCGAGCGCAGGCGGUUAGAUAAGUCUGAAGUUAAAGGCUGUGGCUUAACCAUAGUACGCUUUGGAAACUGUUUAACUUGAGUGCAAGAGGGGAGAGUGGAAUUCCAUGUGUAGCGGUGAAAUGCGUAGAUAUAUGGAGGAACACCGGUGGCGAAAGCGGCUCUCUGGCUUGUAACUGACGCUGAGGCUCGAAAGCGUGGGGAGCAACCAGGAUUAGAUACCCUGGUAGUCCACGCCGUAAACGAUGAGUGCUAGGUGUUAGACCCUUUCCGGGGUUUAGUGCCGUAGCUAACGCAUUAAGCACUCCGCCUGGGGAGUACGACCGCAAGGUUG
rnacentral:rRNA from 1 species